rnacentral:rRNA from 1 species
CUUCGGUCCUGAGUAAAGUGGCGCACGGGUGAGUAACACGUGGAUAAUCUACCCGAUGGACCGGGAUAACACUUCGAAAGGGGUGCUAAUACCGGAUAAGCCCACAGGCUCUUUGGAGUUUGCGGGAAAAGGUGGGGACCUUCGGGCCUACUGUCAUCGGAUGAGUCCGCGGCCCAUUAGCUAGUUGGUGGGGUAAUGGCCCACCAAGGCUACGAUGGGUAGCUGGUCUGAGAGGAUGAUCAGCCACACUGGAACUGAGACACGGUCCAGACUCCUACGGGAGGCAGCAGUGGGGAAUUUUGCGCAAUGGGGGAAACCCUGACGCAGCAACGCCGCGUGAGUGAUGAAGGCUUUCGGGUCGUAAAGCUCUGUCAGAGGGGAAGAAACCCCUGCAGGAUAACACCCUGCAGGAUUGACGGUACCCUCAAAGGAAGCACCGGCUAACUCCGUGCCAGCAGCCGCGGUAAUACGGAGGGUGCAAGCGUUGUUCGGAAUUAUUGGGCGUAAAGCGCGUGUAGGCGGUCUGUUAAGUCUGAUGU